ACGAAAAAAACCCACGACCGAGGCAACGCACACCCUCCCUCCGCAAACCCUAGCCGCCGCACGAGGGAAGAGAUGAGGGACAUGACGUUGCGUCCAGACAUCUCCGCCGCCGGCCGUGCACGGCCGCUCCUCCACGACGACACCAACCGUCCAGAAGCGGAGUCGCCGCCUCGACCCGGGGUCCCCCCGUCCCCGUCGUGGUCGGCGCCACGCCCAUCCCGAGGCACCACCCGCUCGUUGUCAGCACGCCCGAGCUUGCCAAGAAGUUCGCCGUGCCGCGGAGGGGCUCCUGGGGCCGAGAAGCAUAGCGGCGCCGGCGAUGCCGGGGUGCUCGCAUCACCCAAGGUUGUCAGGCCCAUUGCGCUCAACUUCGAGGAGAGGACGCCCAUCAAGGAGCGGCCAUCGCCAGCGCGGAGCUCGGCGUCGGUCAAGAAGAGCACCACCAUCAUGCCCAGGCUGGUGACACGCGGCUGGAGCUUCGUCGCCGACAGGGCGACCCACCUCCUCCUCCACAGAACAAGAUCCCAAAGGGCCGGUUCCACCUGAGAAGAGCUCGAUGAGCUGCACGGCUCACGCACGAUGAGCAGGAGGCCCAGGGAGAAGGAGCCCUCCUUGCUGGUCUCCGACGGCCGGCGUCGGCAGCACAACCGCCUCCUCCAAGAGGAGGCCCUCCUUGUCGGCCUCUCCCGUGCUGGUGCCAGGGAAGCUCAAUGCUCUCGGCAAGGAAACCAGGGAGCAGGCGCACAAUCAAUGGCAAGCCGAGUCGACAGGUGACUUCACACAUCAAAUCGAAUCAAUGAUUACUGAAGUUUAAUUAUAGCCCUCCAAUGCAGUAUCUGUAUGCUUUACAAAAUUAUCCGAGUAUUGCAAAAUUGCAUGAUACAUCAAAUUGGAGCGUAGCCUACAUACUUAUGGACUGUGGAUUUAUGUUGCUUAUUUAGAGGCUACCGUACAUGGAUCAGGUAUGAUAUUGAUUGCAGAAAUUUCUAUACGACUCUUGCGAAUUUCAACCUUGUUCUUCUCCAUGAUUUAGGAAAACUACAACUAUUUGGUGCACGAUCUAAAAUAGCUGCAGGCUAAUCCUCCGCUAAUGUUCAUAAUGUUAUGUGGUACACAAUAUGGGUAAAGGAGAGCACAUUGCUCUAAUGUUUUUGCAUAUGAUAUUAAAUCAGACAUUUCAGUGGAUAAUAUAUGGUAUUGACUUGGACAUUGGUGCUGUGGAACAAUCUAGCAGGUAUUGGAUCUUAUAGAAUUAUAGAGUUGGCAGAGUCUGAAAAUCAUGGUGUUGGUGUUUCAGCCUAUCAAACGCUAACCCAUCUCGCGGUGCGCCACCGUCCGUCGCGGCCGCCCCCGCCACCUCCCGCCGCGGCCGCCGCCCCCAUGUCCCACCGCGGUCGCUGCCCGCGCCAAUGACCCCUUCUCCCGCCGCCGCGCCACGGGUCCACUUCGCCAUGAGCUCCAGCGCCGACCAUCCCGCCGCUGCUCGUGAUCCCCUCUUCCAUCAGCUCCACUUCACCGGAACCGAAAAUCAGCCAAGAUACACAACAAACAUAUCAACCGCAGCUAUCUGCUAUGCGCACAUUCUCUGAAUGCAAAUGAUCAUGACUUAUGAAUUUGGAGCCAUGGCCCAUGUGUAGGCAAGGGCAAUGAUCCCAUUUACUACUUGAGCGGUCCAACAGAGAUUAUUGAAGGUUGUUUCUGAAGUUGUGAUUGACUGGAACCAAAGGAAAGUUGGAGACUUUUUUGGUGUCAAUUGCUUGGAUUAAGUGGGAGUGAAGAUGUUCUUUCUGUCUAUAUCUGGUUCUAUUAUUGGCAAAUUUGUGCCUUCGAGAUUGCUGCGAGUGUUUGUGUUCUCGAGCUGAAAAUUUAGAUUAUUACCAUGUUUGGUCUCCUGAAUAUAAAUCAUGAUUCUUUGCAUCUCAAUUGCAGACCAGCAGACUUUUCCGUCCUCAUAUUCCCCGGAUUCGUUUUCUGCGAUCAAGCGCCCGAGCGGUUGCAUCUCGACGGCAGUUCCCUUUACAACCGAGUUAGCUUUAUACUAUGAGCAGUGAGCAAGUCAUGUAUAAAGCAAAAACAAAAUAUUGGUCUGCUAUCAAAUGGUACAUUUAUUUGAACUCUAAGGGCAGGUUCAGGGUCUCAUGAAGAGGGUAUGUGUUUGUAUUAGGUGAGAUCUGAACUGAUUCUGACCAAUGUGGAAUUAAUUUUGUUGUUGAUGGAUCUGCAAUUAUUUUUAUGUGCACAGAAGUGCCGUAGUUGAGAAGCCUGAGAAGAAUAUAUCACUUAGAUCAGAAGGUUUUGCAGUUGACAAGCUUACAGGUUUGAGCACCCCGAACAACGGGGUGGACCCUUUGACCUGUGGGUUCUGCUGGUACCAAGAGAAGGAGGUUCCUUUUAACCUGCAGGAGCUCUGCCAAUGGCAGUGUGCUUUCCUUGACAAUGACGUGGUACUGCACGUAUGCAAGAUGCAGCGAGUGAAAUCGGCGCAAGAGGGCAUCUUGCAAGCAGCACCAAAUCCUAUAUUAUGGGACCGAGUGAGUAUCUCAAAGAAGAAAUAAUUUUUUUGAUGUAGGAAUAUCUGUAGGCUGAUUAUGCUUUGAUGUAUAAAUCGCGGUAGCACUUAGGUAAAAUAUAAGUUCUUAGCCAGUUCAAUAGUACUUUUGUUGAACAAAGCUCAAUUGACAUUACGCUAAAACCUCGAGAAUACCUGAGGGGACAAGGCAAGUGUUGUUUGUAAUGACUUGUGUUAUGAUAUUGCAAAAUAGAUUAGACGGAAAAGUACAUAGCAUUGCCAUGGAAUAUUUAAUACUUUUAGAUCUGCCUGUUCAUAUGAUGGCAUCCACAAAAUCCUUUCUACCAUGUGGGUGUGUUUGUGUUAGAAUUGUUUCACGCAAAUAGUCAAAUUAUUUUCUAUGUGUAUGCUUCUCCUUUUAUCAACUUAUGAGAAAUUAUAUUAAUGGGACAUGCUUUAUUUGCAAGAUAUAGAUGUCUUAACUUGAUAAAAGGAUUAUAUAUCGAAUGUGUCUGUGCGACUGAAGAUGAGGCAUACUUUAUUUGAAAAUUUAUAUUGAGUGUGUUUGUGCGACUGGAGAUGGAGGAUGGCUUGUGCUCUCUCUUGUGCGGUUACCAUGGUACUCCGGCCAUUAUGAACAGGUGUUGUGGCGGUGGUAAUGUGUUCCAACUUGGACGGCGUUGCCCCCAUUCUGGUGUACGGAGCUAGAGAUGUGUAGUGCUAUGGAUGAAAGUCAUGUGCAGCUUAGGUCUGUGCCGGUGGCGACGACGCCUGUGGGUGCCGUUCCACUCCUUGGAGGCAUCGUCGAGGUGUGUCGGCAUCUUUCCCCUCACAUUGGUGUUUGGUGGUUGUCUCCAGGCGAAAGCCUAGGUUCUCAUAAAUAAUAUUCAACAAAUUGGAAUUUAUUUAGCAACCGAUUUUUAUCUUUCCUUUGAACUCAUCUAUCUAUCUAUAUCUAUCUAUCUAUCUAUCUAUCUAUCUAUCUAUCUAUCUAUAUCUAUACCUAUACUAAUUACAAACUCCCUAGAAAUCCCCAGGUUAAUCAGUAAUUAGGAGCCAUUGAUCAGGUGGGACCAAAUUAUUACGGUGUAGAUCUCUCAUGAAUCUCUCCCCAAAAGAAAAAAAAUCUUAUAGAUAUUUCUCUCACAACUGAAAUUUCUCAAUGUCUCAUGCGUAGAAAAAGUCUCACUUAUCUCUUUCCCACAACCCCAUUCAAUCUCAGAAAACAAUAUAAACAAUCUCUCACGUAUCUCUCUCCAAAUAGGGAAAAACUUUCACGUAUAUCUCUCCGCACGUGUAAAAGAAGUCUCACGUAUGCAUCUCUCCCACAACCACACUCAAACAAUUUGGAAAAGAAAAUCCACCACAUGAUCCUAAUGCAUAAUUUUUUUCCUCUAAUUAAAGCAAUUUCUAUCUCUUCCGGGAAAAAAACUAAAUCUACUCCACGGUCUCUUCCUCAUUAGUACUCCAUGAUAUCUUCCUCCAUACUUCAUGGACUCUUCCUAUUCUCCAUCGGACUUUCCCCACGUGGAAAAUAAUUCCAUCCACGACUUCUUCCUCUUCUCCAUGAUCUCUCUUUGUGUCUCCGCCAAUGAAAAACGAAUGCAUAGCCUCUCUGAAGCUGAACAAGGUAGGUUUGGAAAUUGAUUCCGUGUGCUUAAGGAGAUUAUCAGAUCAAUCCUCAUCAGGAUCAGGUUCGUUUUCUUGCUGGUUUACACUUCAAUCCGUCGUUAGAUUUUCUUUGGUUGUGGGUCUCCCUCUGACACCUAUUCUUCAUGUUUCACUGUCAUGCCGCUGUCGACGUCCAUCAAUAUUGGUUGUAGAUGUGAGUUGUUGCCGCCGCGGAGGCAGAUACUUCUGGGCCUCUUCUCUCUCCGACACUGUGUGCACGUGCACAUCGCCUUUCUAGCCAGAAAGAUUGAACACACGUUUAUUUCUAGAGGCUAUAAAGUUUUUCUUCAUCCGAAUUGAUCUAUGGCAUUGGAGGACACAUGGUUUCCCAAUCCCUGCAAAAAACGAUAUCUAAUAACCUCCUCCUUGAUGAUCUGCCAUGGAGCUUUAAAAAAAGGAAGACGGUCUAUCAUGGAGGAAACACUAUCCGGCAGCCGUCUAACCUCAGAAUUCUGAUCCCUGAUAGAUUUGUGUCACAACUUCAAGGUGAAGAAUUCACAUGUGCCUGUACGUGCCCUCUACACCUGGGUCGAUUUCCUCCUCAGCUGCGGCGGUGGCCAAUGUGUGCAUCAUCUCUUCUCUUUCCAAUCAGAUGCUGGGUGCAAAACUCCAACAAUACUUCCAUCUGCAGCAACAAACUCUGGUAGAGUUAACUCACGUCAGCAUAAGGCAUGAAGCUUUGGAAUAUGCAGAAAAAGUACUUGCACUAAGAGCAAGUCUUUCUCGAGGAAAUAGGAAAAACUGCAACACUUUUUUUGUCUUUUUGAAGAUGCACCAUGGACCAUAGUAAAAAAUAUCACGAACAGAUGUAUCUAGCAUUGAAAUGCGCCUAGAUACACCCGUUUGAGCGAGAAGUAAUAUGGAUAAGAGGGAGUAUCACUUUUUGAUGUUGCGGGGCACCAUGGUACAUGUACGUGUCAAAAACAUCAAGUUCAAAACUUCGUGGCAUGCUUCCACCCAAUGAUUAGUCAACAUGAUAUCAAAUUUCAAGGUUGGGGAGAAUCAUAAUGGACUACUGUGCAUUUGGAUGCAAGGAACCAUUGGUGCGCAUAUGCUACUGCCACAAAAUCAAUUUCCCAUCUACUUCUUAUUUCAGUCACAUGAAUGGUAUCAAUGCAAAGUAAGAUUGCAUUCUUAUUCCAUUUAUUAUUGCCCAAAUCAUUUAUCAUAGUUUAGACGACAUACUCAUCUUGCUUCCAGUUUCCUCGAAUGGCCUCUCAAUCCAUGUUCCAGAUCAUUAGAUGGCACGCAUGUAUGAUGUAUAUACUUUGCCUUUACUCUGCAUUUUUGUUUGUCCUUUGUUUAUGUUUCGAUGCCCAUAUUUCAGCAAUUAGCAAGUGCUGCAACAUACUAGGAAGAAGUUCUUGUGGUCCGGAGUUGGAAGGAUCAAUAAAAACAGGUUUAGUGACUGCAUCAACAUUGUAGGAAGAAGUUCUUGUUUUCUGGAGUUUGAAACAUCAGUAGUACGCUGUUGAGAUGCUCUUCGACCCUUUUUUUGACAAACACAACAAUGUAGCUACUCCAUUGAAUAACUUACCUUGUGUUGGUAUUCAUCGUUAUAAAUAACAUUGAGUCUUGUUCAUCAUGAAUCUGUAUAAAUAUGUGUUGUGUUCUCUUUCAGAGAAGUGAACUUUGAGAACCCUCCUCAUUCCGAUCAAUGAAAAUUCCAAGGCUGAAAGUACAAACUUGAUAAGACAAAUUGAUAGACUUGGAGAGAAAAAUGGGUGUAUUUGGACCUGGAUGGUAACAUAGGCAUAUUUGGAAUAGGGUGACAACGGAGCAGAAAUGGCCAAAAGAGUUUGAGUGGAAGGGCUUGUGGAAGAAGAUAUGGAAUGACAACGAUGCGAUUUUGUUGUGUGAUUGUUGUAUGUAUAUUUGAGGUCCUUAGGAAAAGAAGUCUCAGUGAGGUAAAGUGAUGGAGACACAUCUUAGGUGGAGAUGAAAGGAGAACUCGGAGACAAAUAGAGCAUUAUUCGUAGUUGGUUUGUGAAUGAACA